AUCGCCGAGGCAGUGUUAAAAUAUAAAACCACUGUAUCGUUAACACAAAUUUCUGAAGACUUUUACAAAAAGAGUCAAAACUUUCAACAACGGAUCUCUUGGUUCUGGCAUCGAUGAAGAACGCAGCGAAAUGCGAUACGUAAUGUGAAUUGCAGAAUUCAGUGAAUCAUCGAAUCUUUGAACGCACAUUGCGCCCGCCAGUAUUCUGGCGGGCAUGCCUGUCCGAGCGUCAUUUCAACCCAUCAAGCUUAGCGCUUGUGUUGGAGCCCUGCGGCCGCCGCAGCCUCCUAAAAUCAGUGGCGGGCUCGCUAUCACGCUGAGUGCAGUAGUAUUCUUCUCACUCCUGUGGUGUAGCGGGUCACCAGCCGUAAAACCCCCCCAUAUUCAAAGGUUGACCUCGGAUCAGGUAGGAAUACCCGCUGAACUUAAGCAUAUCAAUAAGCGGAGGAAAAGAAACCAACAGGGAUUGCCCUAGUAACGGCGAGUGAAGCGGCAACAGCUCAAAUUUGAAAUCUGGCAACAGCCCGAGUUGUAAUUUGCAGAGGAAGCUUCUGGUAAUGCACUGUCUAAGUCCCCUGGAACGGGGCGCCACAGCGGGUGAGAGCCCCAUGUGAUGGCUGCUGACCCAGUGUGAAGCUCCUUCGACGAGUCGAGUAGUUUGGGAAUGCUGCUCAAAAUGGGAGGUAAAUUCCUUCUAAAGCUAAAUAUUGGCCAGAGACCGAUAGCGCACAAGUAGAGUGAUCGAAAGAUGAAAAGCACUUUGAAAAGAGGGUUAAACAGCACGUGAAAUUGUUGAAAGGGAAGCGCUCAUGACCAGACUUGCGUUGGGCUGAUCAUCCGGUGUUCUCACCGGUGCACUCUGCCCAGCACAGGCCAGCAUCGGUUUUGGCGGGGGGAUAAAGGCGCUGGGAACGUAGCUCCUUCGGGAGUGUUAUAGCCCAGCGUGCAAUACCCCCGCCGGGACCGAGGACCGCGCAUUCGCAAGGAUGCUGGCGUAAUGGUCAUCAGCGACC
rnacentral:rRNA from 1 species